UUCAAAACAAAAAAGUAGGAGUUGGAUUUGGAGACCUCUGGUUUCCUUGAGAGCCGCGGAAGGCGAAGGGGGGAAAAAGAAGAGGAGAAUGAGAGAGCAAGCUUUACCCCUCCACUUCCCCUCAGGUAGCAGCAAGGAAUACACGUUUGCAGAAAGGACUGGGGGGUGGGGGGUGGGGAGAAGAACCCCAAAUGCAAAACAACCUUUCUACCAAAAAAAAAAAAAGGCAGUUCAACGAAGGCUAAGAAGGUUUGGAGGAAAGAGAAACUCCAGGAUCGGUCUGCCUGUUGUACGUCCAAGGGAGAGCUGGAAGUGCCUGUGUGUGAAGCGUGAGAUACCCUCGCGUACACUCUCAGAGCCUAAGGAAGGGCUAGGGGAGAGGAAAAGGGAAGAUCCUGCCGGCCUCUCCCUCUCCUCGGGGGUCUCCCGCAAUGGCAUCAGGCAGAGGCAGCCAGCGGAGCAGCGGAUCUUCCGAGCUCUCAGGAGUCCUGGGCUCGCCGCGGAGCCUUUUUCUGUCUGCGGGCAGUCCCGGAUCUCAGUAACCUGUACGCCCCAAGGACUUGGGGGCAACCCCUCCGCGAGUUUCGGAGCUGUGGAGGGGUCCGCCCACCUGACUGGCAGGUGGGGACCGUAAGGAUGCAGAAAUCCCAGAGAAGACGCAAGACGGGUGCGAAUCGCCCCCAGCAGGUCCUCACGCCUCAGACCCGAUCGGCAGCGGAGGCGGCGGCGGCAGUAGCUGAAGGAGCAACAACAGCACACAGGUUGGGUCUGUAUGCAGGACAAAAGGCUUCUCUGGAAUUAAGUAAAGCAACACUGGAGCAUGUGGCAACUACAUAGCACAGUACAGUGCCAGUCCUGGAGUCAGGAAGAUUCAUCUUCCUGAGUUCAAAUCU